rnacentral:tRNA from 1 species
GUUUGUAUAGCUCACUGGUAGAGUGCUUGCCUAACGUGUAUGAGAUUCUGGGUUCAAUCCCCAGUACCUUCA